UAGUCUGCAACCCGACUACAUGAAGCUGGAAUCGCUAGUAAUCGCGGAUCAGAAUGCCGCGGUGAAUACGUUCCCGGGUCUUGUACACACCGCCCGUCACACCAUGGGAGUCGGAAAUGCCCGAAGUCUGUGACCUAACCGAGAGGGAGGAGCAGCCGAAGGCAGGUCUGAUGACUGGGGUGAAGUCGUAACAAGGUAAC
rnacentral:rRNA from 1 species